GAGCAGUCCACGCCUUGUGGCGGCUUUGCGGAGCUGCUGCUUUGGCGGGAGUUGGAAGCUGGUGUGAGGUGAGAGGCGCGGUGGUCGCUCCCCGGCGAGGCCAGGUUUCUGUGGGGAGAAGGAGAGUGCCAGAGGUGACUGGUUCAUGGUUCUUCUAGGCUCUCAUGGCCACCAUGUUGGAAGGCAGAUGCCAAACUCAGCCAAGGAGCAGCCCCAGUGGCCGAGAGGCUAGCCUGUGGUCGUCAGGCUUUGGGAUGAAGCUGGAGGCUGUCACUCCAUUCCUGGGGAAGUAUCGCCCCUUUGUGGGUCGCUGUUGCCAGACCUGCACCCCCAAGAGCUGGGAGUCCCUCUUCCACAGAAGCAUAACGGACCUAGGCUUCUGCAAUGUGAUCCUGGUGAAGGAGGAGAACACAAGCCUUCUGUGAGUCCUAGUGGAGGUGGGCCCUCUCUGAAGGAUCUUCCCUCCUGCUCUGGGAGCUGUGCCCAGGUUUCGGGGCUGGCUGGUUCGGAGGCUCUGCUAUUUCCUGUGGUCCCUGGAGCAGCACAUC
rnacentral:lncRNA from 1 species